UACGUAGGGCGCAAGCGUUGUCCGGAAUUAUUGGGCGUAAAGAGCUCGUAGGCGGUUUGUCGCGUCUGCUGUGAAAACCUAAGGCUCAACCUUGGGCUUGCAGUGGGUACGGGCAGACUAGAGUGCGGUAGGGGUGACUGGAAUUCCUGGUGUAGCGGUGGAAUGCGCAGAUAUCAGGAGGAACACCGAUGGCGAAGGCAGGUUACUGGGCCGCAACUGACGCUGAGGAGCGAAAGCAUGGGGAGCGAACAGG
rnacentral:rRNA from 1 species